ACAGACAGCCAGGAUGUUGGCUUAGAAGCAGCCAUCAUUUAAAGAAAGCGUAAUAGCUCACUGGUCGAGUCGGCCUGCGCGGAAGAUGUAACGGGGCUAAACCAUGCACCGAAGCUGCGGCAGCGACACUAUGUGUUGUUGGGUAGGGGAGCGUUCUGUAAGCCGUCGAAGGUGGCCUGUGAGGGCUGCUGGAGGUAUCAGAAGUGCGAAUGCUGACAUAAGUAACGAUAAAGCGGGUGAAAAGCCCGCUCGCCGGAAGACCAAGGGUUCCUGUCCAACGUUAAUCGGGGCAGG
rnacentral:rRNA from 1 species